rnacentral:rRNA from 1 species
UGGGGAAUAUUGGACAAUGGGGGCAACCCUGAUCCAGCCAUGCCGCGUGUGUGAAGAAGGCCUUUUGGUUGUAAAGCACUUUAAGCAGGGAGGAGAGGCUAAUGGUUAAUACCCAUUAGAUUAGACGUUACCUGCAGAAUAAGCACCGGCUAACUCUGUGCCAGCAGCCGCGGUAAUACAGAGGGUGCGAGCGUUAAUCGGAAUUACUGGGCGUAAAGCGAGUGUAGGUGGCUCAUUAAGUCACAUGUGAAAUCCCCGGGCUUAACCUGGGAACUGCAUGUGAUACUGGUGGUGCUAGAAUAUGUGAGAGGGAAGUAGAAUUCCCAGGUGUAGCGGUGAAAUGCGUAGAGAUCUGGAGGAAUACCGAUGGCGAAGGCAGCUUCCUGGCAUAAUAUUGACACUGAGAUUCGAAAGCGUGGGUAGCAAACAGGAUUAGAUACCCUGGUAGUCCACGCCGUAAACGAUGUCUACUAGCCGUUGGGGUCCUUGAGACUUUAGUGGCGCAGUUAACGCGAUAAGUAGACCGCCU